UUGACUUGACGACAAACCGUAAUCCGUGUGUUCAUCCCCUUUGUGUUCUUCGUUUCACUUUGAUCAGCGGAGACGAUCAGUUUCUGUAACUGAAUUCGUUGUUAUUGCUAGGUAUUUAAUCCACCGUAUUUAAUCUUAUUCAAUUUCUCUGUUCCGUCGGUGUUAUCAUGUAUAAAUAGGAAACAGGGCCAGAGCCAUAACCAUGAGCUCCUUCAGAUCUUACUCUGUCGGACAGAUCUGCCAAGCAUCUCACCGUUGCGGAGAUCCUUGAUUGGCUUAACAACGGCAUCAGUGAAGAUGGUGGUUCUUGGUUGGCUCAACGGCGAGAGUUGGAGUAUGGUGAAUGAAGGGUGAUUCAGGCAGGACGACGGGUUCGGCUUAAAGCUCCGGACAAAAUACUUGCUUUGUUUAUGAAGAUUCACUGGAAGCAACCACUGAUAUUUCACUUCAGUUAGAGAUUUAAUAGCUGAAGAUGGUGGACUCUUUGAGAAUAUCUCUUGGUGGUAUUGUUAUGAGGAGCAAGGACGCUAAAAAGUCUGGUGGUAAGAGAAUUUCCUGUGGUGGAGCAAAAGGUUUAACUGGAUCUGGAAAGAGGAGCUGCUGGACCUGUUCGCAGAGGUCAAAUCUGGGAUCUUCUCUGCGUAUAAUUAGAAUUCUGAGUUUACUUGCAUAUAGUAGAAAUAAUAAGUGUUUGGUCUCAUGUGUUUUCAUCAAACAAAGACCAUGAUGAGAUAUUCUCUCAUGGUCAAACGGCCCAAAUAUCUCAUGGAAGCUCAAGUGGCAGGGUGUGUUCGACGGACCCGCAAUUGCUGUUUGAAAUCGUAGGGAGAUACUAAAUACGUCGAACAAACGUGAUAUGAGUUUUGUGUUGUGAUUGGAAGAAGAGUUGUUUGUUUGUUUGAACAAGAGAAGCGCCUAUGACUGUGCAACGAGGCAACGCUCGACACGGUGUAGAAGAAAAGGAAGAAUUCCUCUCUGACUUUUCCAAAGUCACUAUCUCUCAUUCAGUUUUUAAAAACAUGUAAAUGUUUAACAGUUUUCGAAACUGCCUCUACGCAUUUGUUUUGGUCAUGUAACAAAGCUUAUAUAUAAAAUAAGCGAGGAGUACUACGAGAAGGAUUAUGAAGCUUAUAAUAUUAUUUGCUUAGACGUCAA